UUACGGUCAUAUUACAUUGAAACAGCGGUUCCCGUACGAUCACCUAAGUUAAGCAACGUCGAGGUUCGUCAGUACAUAGAUGAGUGACCGCUUGGGAAUACAAAGUUCUG